AUUGAACGCUGGCGGCAGGCUUAACACAUGCAAGUCGAGCGAGCGGCGGACGGGUGAGUAAUGUCUGGGAAACUGCCUGAUGGAGGGGGAUAACUACUGGAAACGGGAGCUAAUACCGCGUACCAUAGGAUGAGCCCAAGGGGGAUGAGGUAGUUGGUGAGGUAAAGGCGCACCAAGCCGUCGAUCUCUCGCUGGUCUGAGAGGAUGACCAGCCACACUGUGCCUGAUGCACUGCCCAGACUCCUCCGUGCGGCAGCAGUGGGGAAUAUUGCGCAAUGGGGGCAACCCUGACGCAGCCAGGCCGCGUGAAUGAAGAAGGCCUUCGGGUUGUAAAGUUCUUUCGGUCGCGAGGCGUUACCGACAGAAGAAGCACCGGCUAACUCCGUGCCAGCAGCCGCGGUAAUUC
rnacentral:rRNA from 1 species